UAUAUACCCCUGGUUUCAUGCUACUCUUCGCCAGAUCGUUCCGUCGCCCUCAGUGGUCUGUCACCUGCCAGCUGUGGCUGCUCCCCACCUGCCUGCUCACUCCUGCACUCUGCUCAUUGGAUUAAUUUGGAACCUUUUGGAAUAAAUAUUCUUUUUGUUCUACCUUUAAAACUCUCGUUUUGUGUGCUGCAUUUGAGUCCACGUUUUUGGGAACUACUCAUAACAGAACGAUCUGGCCUAACAAUGGACUCAGCAGACACAAAUGUUUUUCAGAAGGCUGUUUCCAGCCAUGAUAUUUUGUUAGGACAACAUCACCAAUUACUUCAGGGUUUAUUGGAGACCCAACAAGCCUUAGGUAAUCAAAUGUCUCACAUGGGAAAAUGUUUGGAGACAAUUUCAGGCCAAUUAGCCCCAUCCCCCACUCUGCCUCCUCCUUCUCCGCCUCAGCCACUCAGAGAAUCACCUGUUCCCCCACCUGAACCAUAUGCCGGUGAUUUGGGGAGAUGCAAAGGAUUCCAGCUCCAAUGUUCUCUGGUUUUUUCCCGACAACCAGUCACCUUCACGACAGACCAGGCCAAGACUGGACAACCGUAUGCGGGAGAGACGCCGGGAGAAGAACUACAAAUCCC